UACGUAGGGUGCAAGCGUUUGUCCGGAAUUAUUGGGCGUAAAGAGCUCGUAGGCGGUCUGUCGCAUCUGCUGUGAAAACUCGGGGCUUAACCCCCGGGCCUGCAGUGGGUACGGGCAGACUAGAGUGCGGUAGGGGAGACUGGAAUUCCUGGUGUAGCGGUGAAAUGCGCAGAUAUCAGGAGGAACACCGGUGGCGAAGGCGGGUCUCUGGGCCGUAACUGACGCUGAGGAGCGAAAGCGUGGGGAGCGAACAGG
rnacentral:rRNA from 1 species